CCCCUUCAGGUUUCUUACCCACCAGACCUAAGGAAUGUCCUGCGUGGUUACAAAAGGAGGAAAAGUCAGAUUGAAACAGAAUUAAAUUCUUUUGUGAUCCACAAACUGGUUUCAAAUAGGU
rnacentral:snoRNA from 1 species